UUAGACGGGGCCCGGCACAAGCGUGGAGCAUGUGGUUUAAUUCGAAGCAACGCGAAGAACCUUUACCUGGCCUUGACAUGCUGAGAACUUUCCAGAGAUGGAUUGGUGCCUUCGGGAACUCAGACACAGGUGCUGGCAUGGCUGUCGUCAGCUCGUGUCGUGAGAUGUUGGGUUAAGUCCCGCAACGAGCGCAACCCUUGUCAUUAGUUGCCAUCAUUUGGUUGGGCGACUCUAAUGAGACUGCCGGUGACAACCGGAGGAAGGUGGGGAUGACGUCAAGUCCUCAUGGCCCUUAUGGGUAGGGCUUCACACGUCAUACAAUGGUCGGUACAGAGGGUUGCCAACCCGCGAGGGGGAGCUAAUCCCACAAAGCCGAUCGUAGUCCGGAUCGCAGUCUGCAACUCGACUGCGUGAAGUCGGAAUCGCUAGUAAUCGUGGAUCAGCAUGUCACGGUGAAUACGUUCCCGGGCCUU
rnacentral:rRNA from 1 species